UGGGGAAUCUUGCACAAUGGAGGAAACUCUGAUGCAGCGAUGCCGCGUGAGUGAAGAAGGCCUUUGGGUUGCAAAGCUCUUUCGUCGGGGAAGAAAAUGACUGUACUCGAAUAAGAAGGUACGGCUAACUUCGUGCCAGCAGCCGCGGUAAUACGAAGGGACCUAGCGUAGUUCGGAAUUACUGGGCUUAAAGAGUUCGUAGGUGGUUGAAAAAGUUGGUGGUGAAAUCCCAGAGCUUAACUCUGGAACUGCCAUCAAAACUUUUCAGCUAGAGUUUGAUAGAGGAAAGCAGAAUUUCUAGUGUAGAGGUGAAAUUCGUAGAUAUUAGAAAGAAUACCAAUUGCGAAGGCAGCUUUCUGGAUCAUUACUGACACUGAGGAACGAAAGCAUGGGUAGCGAAGAGG
rnacentral:rRNA from 1 species